AUUAACUGCAGGCGCAGAGUACCCUACGGCAGCCAAGUGAUUUUUGCACCCAGGAUGCCUCUCUCCCAUCUGUAGCUGCCCAUCCACCAAAGGUUGAAAACGAAACGACCUUGCACCUCGGCAUGCCUGGAGUGAAGCCUUCUGGGUCAAGGGGCAGAGCAAAGAGCAAGCCUGGGGGCAGAAUACAACUUAUUAUUUAUUUUUAAAAUUUCUAUCCUUCCUUCUUCCCAGAAGGAGCUCAGAACCCCGCUCUUCCUAGGCUCACCGUGCAGCCUUUGUGAAGCAACCACAUAGCUGACAAGCGUCACAUCACUGGAGCCACCUGACUCAAGGGGGAUGGGAUGGACCCGGAAGUGCUCCAGCAUGUCGAAGAUGGUCUGGAACCAAAGAUGCUGAACCCGGCAUUGCCCAUCUUCAUUAAGGGAGAGGCGCAGGUGCUAGCGGUGGUAGAAGAAGGCUGCUAUGAGAGAACCGUCGUGAGCCACAGACCCCUGCUGGAUCCUCCCUCACCCUGCCCCACAACCUGGCACCAUCUUGCACUCACCUUCGCUUUCCCCUGGAAGUUAAAAGUCAGGACAUAUUCGCCACGUCGCGUCUCACUUUGCCGCACUAAGAAGACACCAUGGCUGCUAGCUCCCCCUGCCAAUACCAGCUGGGCCGCUUUGAGACGGGACAGAGUACCAUGGAACCAAGGAUAUUCAGAGAGGGGGUGUUCUGUGUCGCCAAGGCUUCCCCCACCUGGGUCGGGCUCCCCUUGGAAGAGGAAGGAACCUGAAGCAGGGAGAAAGGCAGCAGAAGUCUCCCCAAGCCCAUUCAGACAAUUCUGGAACCUUGCUUGCACAUCAGGACUGUCCCAGAAUCAAGGAAGAGAACCAGGAAUCCUGGUUCUAUCUCAAGCCGUUACCUGUGGUGUCAGGGGUUUCAGGGAAGGUCGAGUGGAGGAGCCCCGUGGGAAAUGGCCCUUCAUCAAUCGGCACUCGAGGUGGCAGCUCAGGAGGCAGCAACUCCAUUGAGUCAAAGUGGGAGGCAGCGAUGGAGACCGAGCUGGGAGACAUGGAAGCUGAGGGGCGUUCCAUCAGUCCGCCAUAGGCACCUGCAGAUGGGGAGAAAGGCCAGGUCACAGGUCAUGUGCAAAUGCAGCUUCUAAAUAUCUUGGCUACAUUUUGUGUAUGAUACACUGUAGAAAGAA